rnacentral:lncRNA from 1 species
GGCGCCCACCUUUGGCAGGCUCCAGUCUGAUUGGCUGGUGCCUCUCUGAGGACCCCGAGAGUCGGGAACAGGGAGACGGGUGAAUAGGCUGUCUGCUGGGGACCAACGGAGGGAGCGGCGGGAUUGGCUGGAGGAAGACUGCAGUAUUACCAAGGUGGCGCUGACGUCUCCGGCCACUGACGCUCGGCCGAGGGCGGCCCACCUUGGCAGGCUCAGCUCCGAUUGGCUGGUGCCUCCCUGAGGACGCCGAGAGUAGGGAACAGGAGACAAGGCUGUCUGCUGGGGACCAACGGAGGGAGCGGCGGGAUUGGCUGGUGGAAGACUGCAGUAUUACCAAGGUGGCGCUGACGUCUCCGACCACUGACGCUCGGCCGAGGGCGGCCCACCUUGGCAGGCUCAGCUCCGAUUGGCUGGUGCCUCCCUGAGGACGCCGGGAGUAGGAAACAGGAGACAAGGCUGUCUGCUGGGGACCAAUGGAGGAAGCAGCGGGAUUGGCUGGAAGAAGACUGCAGUAUUACCAAGGUGGCGCUGACUUCUCUGGCCACUGACGCUCGGCCGAGGGCGGCCCACCUUGGCAGGCUCAGCUCCGACUGGCUGGUGCCUCCCUGAGGACGCCGAGAGUAAGGAACAAGUAAGUGAGAAGUGAGAGGCCCGCACCCGCCCAACUCCCCCCCCCCAGGCUCGGGCUCCUGAGCGUGGGAGCAAAGUGACCAGGAAACAUAAGGCCCACACCC